rnacentral:lncRNA from 1 species
GUCUUAGGGUACCUUCCAACACAAUGAUGAGGAUUUGGUUUUUAAUUACAUAACUGUUAAAGAGAGUUAUAAACAUGGAUGAAAAUUUGAUUUACUCUUUGGUGUAUGCUUGGUUGUGGUUUAAAUUUAUGAAUUCACAUGCAAUCAUAAAAGAAAAUUCAGUUUUGUAACAUGCUUGAAGGAAGGAACUCAAAUGAACGCUACAACCUUGUGAGACUUGUUAUUUGGAGAGUUAAUAAUCUGUGCAUUCUUGUUUUCUAAAGUUGUUGCAUGAUCUCAUUAUUCUUUGCUUGGUUACUACUUAGAAGGCGUUUCAUCAUUUAGUUCCAAAUGCUAGAACUCAUGCCCAUUUCAUUCAAAGCAUGCUAUUGAUUUGCAUAACACAUAUUCAAGAUGAAGUUGUGUAGUGACCACCACCAAAGCCAAAUUGCCCUGUAUCCUACUUCAUUAUAUGUUUAAGUUUAACCCCGUUGAGCCUUGUGUAGCCUAUGUUCUUUGUUAACCCACACUAUCCUCACCUAGCCUAGAUUAGAACCAUCCAUACCCUUGUUCUUGAAGCAUAGUAAAGCAUGACUCAAAAUGAAUUCCUUUUUAUUAAAGUAUUGCAGAAAACAAGUGUGGGGGAAGUGAUUCUUGUUGUGUGUGUGUGCCAAAAUCCUUAAUAAGGCACGGGUAGGAAAGAAAAAGAAAAAGAAAAAUUUGUGAAAAAUAGAAUGAAAAGUUGUGAAAAAGAGCUUUAAAGUGUCGUUUGUUGAAGAAAGGGUCCAAAAACAUUGAAUUUGGCCCUAAAUGUUGCAUGAAUCUUCCAUUUGUAUUUAAAAGUUGAUUCUGCAUUCUAAAGUAAAUUCCAAGUGUCGAUUUCAUUGCUUUGCUUGCUAUCGCUUUAAGAACGUUUGUUACCCCUAUCCUUCCUUUGUUAGCCAUUACUCCCAAGCCCCGUUACAACCCUUGGCUUCUAUCUUUAGUGUUAUGUGUUUCAAUUUGUGGAGUUUGAAAUUUGGUAUGAGCAUAUGGUGUCACUGGUUCUCGCAUCUAAGUAGUAGCAUUCCAUUCAUGAGAUCAUAUUUAAACAUGCUUAUUAACUCCAGAAAUUGCUUUCUUUGUUUGUAACAUGUGUGAGUACUAGUCUUUCAUGUUUACAUCAAUCUUCUCACAUAUAUCUAGUGUAGGGUGUGUAGUCAGAAAAUGUGUGUGAAAAAUAAAGAGUAUCUUGUAAGGAAUUGAGAAAAGUCUCUAAGGCAUGUUACUACAUUCAAAACAUUGUUUUAAUUGGUUAAUUGUGAACUAGUAAGUGGUGAUUGUGAUUAAGUUUGUGCUUAAGUGUGAAGAUAACCAAAAUCUAUGGGAAUGAUGAUUUUUAACAUGUCAUGUGCAUUAAAAAUCCCUGAGGCAAAUGUUGGAAGGUUUAGGUUAUGUUUUGUUGUUUCGUUUGUGUUGUUUUGCUUGAGGACUAGCAAAAGCUAAGUGAUAAGCUCAUAUUUAUAUAUAUUUUACAUCAAAUUCACUUGUCUUUUCUUAGUUAGUUCCUUAUAUUUUUG